rnacentral:rRNA from 1 species
UACGUGAGGGUGCGAGCGUUUGUCCGGAAUUAUUGGGCGUAAAGAGCUCGUAGGCGGUUUGUCACGUCUGCUGUGAAAUCCCGAGGCUCAACCUCGGGCCUGCAGUGGGUACGGGCAGACUGGAGUGCGGUAGGGGAGAAUGGAAUUCCUGGUGUAGCGGUGGAAUGCGCAGAUAUCAGGAGGAACACCGAUGGCGAAGGCAGUUCUCUGGGCCGUAACUGACGCUGAGGAGCGAAAGCGUGGGGAGCGAACAGG